GAAGGAAUAGCUGAAAUGGUACAGCAUAUGCUUAGCAUGCAGGAGGUCGUGGGUUCAAUUCCCAGUACCUCCU
rnacentral:tRNA from 1 species